AUGGGUCGACGACGGCGACUCGAGGGAGGGGGCAGUCUACUCGAGUCAUCCCGCACUCUUUCUCUGCUCGAGUUAACCCGGAUGGAUGGAAUUUCGUUGCAGUCUUCAUAUGCCACCAACACUUUUCACUGGCAGAGAUUUCAGGUCCUGAAGUCAUUGUUGAAGACAUGGAUUGAACCGGCUUACGAAGCACGGAGAGAAGAAUUUCUUUCCAUUUUGCUAUGCAUAACAAUGCGCGCGCGCGAUUCCACGGAAACUUCCGACUUUAUUCAGGUGGAUAAAACCUCGACAUGUGGAGAGCAUGCGCGCGCGAGAUUCCACAGAAACUUCCGACUUUCUUCUUAG
rnacentral:rRNA from 1 species